rnacentral:rRNA from 1 species
GAUGAACGCUAGCGGCAGGCUUAAUACAUGCAAGUCGUGGGGCAGCAGGUUUGUAGCAAUACAGAUGCUGGCGACCGGCAAACGGGUGCGGAACACGUACAGAACCUUCCUUUGAGCGGGGAAUAGCCCAGAGAAAUUUGGAUUAAUACCCCAUAGUAUAAUGAAGUGGCAUCACUUUAUUAUUAAAGAUUUAUCACUCGAAGAUGGCUGUGCGGCUGAUUAGGUAGUUGGCGGGGUAAAGGCCCACCAAGCCUGCGAUCAGUAACUGGUGUGAGAGCACGACCAGUCACACGGGCACUGAGACACGGGCCCGACUCCUACGGGAGGCAGCAGUAAGGAAUAUUGGUCAAUGGAGGCAACUCUGAACCAGCCAUGCCGCGUGGAGGAUGAAGGUCCUCUGGAUUGUAAACUUCUUUUAUAUGGGACGAAAAAAGGGUUUUCUAACUCGUCUGACGGUACCAUAUGAAUAAGCACCGGCUAACUCCGUGCCAGCAG